rnacentral:rRNA from 1 species
AUGCAAACUUUGAGGCUCAAUCAUUGCAAGGGGCUACGACAGUUUCCAGAAGACAUGGUGAUGAGCCUGAGAAAGCUCAUACAUGUUUAUCUUUAUGGAUGUUCUAAUCUGGAGCGGAUGCCUCGAAACAUAGGUCAGCUGAACAACCUUUGCACACUAACAAGAUUUAUUGUGGAUACGAGAGAUGGUUGUGGUAUUGAGGAGCUCAAAGACCUGCGACACCUUAGCAACAGGUUGGAACUGUACAGCUUGAGAAAAAUAAAGAGUGUAAAUCAUGCAAAAGAAGCCAAUCUCAAGCAGAAGCAAAAUCUGAGUGAGUUGUUGUUCUCUUGGGGCCUUGAAAGAUUUGACAGGACCGAAAAUGAGGCAUGUAAUGAGGAAGAAGUGUUCCAGCAUCUAGAACCUCAUAGCAAGAUCCAAAUUUUUGAGUUGUACGGAUACGGUGGCCCAGAAAUACCACGAUGGAUGAGAGACCGUCAGAUGUUUCAGUGCUUAAGAAAACUCACUAUUUUCAACUGGACAAGGUGUAAGAAUAUACCUGUAGUAUGGCUCUCACCCUCACUGGAGUACUUGCACUUAUACAACAUGGGUAAACUGAAGACAUUGUGUGAUAACCUUUGCAGAGAAGGUGGAGGAUGCAGUACCCCUCUACAGAUUUUCCCGAAGUUGAAGAACAUGUUCUUGGAACACCUACCUAGUCUAGAGGGAUGGGCAGGAAACAGUGCGGGUGUGGCCAUUGAUAGCUCAGUAAUAUUCCCGGUUCUUGAGAGGCUACAAAUCAACAUCUGCCCUAAGAUUGCAAGUUUUCCACUGAGCCCCGUUCUCAAAGACCUGAAUUUAGCAGGAUGUAACUUGGAGGUGGAGUGUUUAUGGGAUAUUCCAAGGUUGCCUACAUCCCUUGAAAUUUUGUGGAUUCAACGCUCCGGAGGUUUGGUGGCGCUGCCGUCAAACCUUGGAGAUCUGGCAAAGCUGAGCGGCUUAAUGGUGAAUAUCUGCAGGAGCCUGAAAGGGUUGCCUGAUGGGAUGGAUGGCCUCACUUCUCUUCGGGAAUUGAGAAUCACUCAUUGUCCAGGGAUAGAGGAAUUCCCGAAUGGUCUCCUUCAGCGGUUGCCAGCCCUUGACCGCCUAAUCAUACAUGGCUGCCCCGAGUUGGAAAGACGAUGCAGAGAAGGUGGGGAGUAUUUCCACCACUUGCUCCCUAUCCCAGAUAAGUCAAGAUUCAGAACUGGAGCUCCAGAAGCCGAAUCCACAAUUAUAGCAGAAGCAGAAGCAGAGUCCACAAUUAUAGCAGAAGCAGAAGCAGAGUCCACAAUUAUAGCAGAAGCAGAAGCAGAGUCCACAAUUAUAGCAGAAGCAGAAGCAGAAACCAGUGGAAAGAAGUUUCUAAGAAGGCUCCUCCCCUCCUGUGCUCACUCGGAGUCUGACAAUAACUGA